rnacentral:rRNA from 1 species
GACGUAGGGCGCGAGCGUUGUCCGGAUUAUUGGGCGUAAAGAGCUCGUAGGCGGCUUGUCGCGUCGACCGUGAAAACUCACAGCUCAACUGUGAGCUUGCGGUCGAUACGGGCAGGCUCGAGUUCGGUAGGGGAGACUGGAAUUCCUGGUGUAGCGGUGAAAUGCGCAGAUAUCAGGAGGAACACCGGUGGCGAAGGCGGGUCUCUGGGCCGAUACUGACGCUGAGGAGCGAAAGCGUGGGGAGCGAACAGG